rnacentral:lncRNA from 1 species
UGCAACUCUACUUCUAGAGAUGGAAUUUUCCCUAUAAAUACUAGAUUCUUUUUUCUAGAUUUGUGAAGUUUUGUUGAUGUAGUUGUAGUCUCUCCAUAUUAUUAUUGAAGGAAACAUCAAUUCCUUUGUUUAACUCUCUCUGUCUCUUUAUUUUAAUCUUGUUCUAUUUGUUGUUACAUAUUUUAUAUUACACUAUUAAAUCUCAAUUUUUACGUUGCCUUCUGAUCCAACAAGGUGGUUUCAGAGCUGUUCCGCCUUCAACAAGUGGUAUCAAAGCUAGGCUGCAAAUUCUUCGUGAUUUGAUCGAGAUUUUUUUUCAGAAAUGGCUAUUUUGAAAUAUGAUAUUCUACUGCUGGAUCGCAAUACGAUAUUUUCGCCGUGGCAAGUAAAGAUGAUGGCUAUUUUGAUGCAGAUGAAUUUAGAUGGUGUGUUGUUGGGUUUUGAUAAGAUGCUAACUGAUUGGACAACAGAAGAAUAGGAAGGCCCUAUCGCAAAUUCAUCUUCACCUCUCCAAUAAUAUUCUGCAGGAUGUCUUAAAAGAAAAGACAGUGGCGGCUUUGUGGUUAAAACUAGAAUAGUUGUGCAUGAUGAAAAGUCUUCAGAGCAAAUUGCAUCUUAAGUAGAAGCUGUAUUCCCAUCCAUGGCAGAGGAGGAUCAUUGGAAGACCUACUUGCUGUGCUCAAGGAAAGACAUUGAGGCAUUGAAGGUCAAGUAUGAUAAGGAGGCCAGUGAUA